UGCCUACGGGACGCAGCAGUGAGGAAUAUUGGUCAAUGGACGCAAGUCUGAACCAGCCAUGCCGCGUGCAGGAUGACGGCUCUAUGAGUUGUAAACUGCUUUUGUACGAGGGUAAACCCCGAUACGUGUAUCGGGUUGAAAGUACUGUACGAAUAAGGAUCGGCUAACUCCGUGCCAGCAGCCGCGGUAAUACGGAGGAUCCAAGCGUUAUCCGGAUUUAUUGGGUUUAAAGGGUGCGUAGGCGGAUUGAUAAGUUAGAGGUGAAAUGUCCGAGCUUAACUCGGGAACUGCCUCUAAUACUGUUG
rnacentral:rRNA from 1 species